GAUGAACGCUGGCGGCGUGCCUAAUACAUGCAAGUCGAGCGAACGGACGAGACGCUUGCUUUUCUGAUGUUAGCCGCGGACGUGUGAGUCACACGUGUAUACCCUCCCUAUAAUACUGGUAUCACUUCGGGAAUCCGGAGCUUAUCCCGUAUAAUAUUUUGCACCGCAUGGUUCAAAAGUGAAAGUCGGUCUUUCUGUCUCUUCUCGCUGCAUCCGCGCUGCAUUAGCUAGUUGGUAAGGUAACGGCUUACCAAGGCAACGAUGCAUAGCCGAGCUGAGAGGGUGAUCGGCCACACUGGAACUGAGACACGGUCAAGACUCCUAAGGGAGGCAGCAGUAGGGAAUCUUCCGCAAUGGGCGAAAGCCUGACGGAGCAACGCCGCGUGAGUGAUGAAGGUCUUCGGAUCGUAAAAAUCUGUUAUUAGGGAAGAACAGAUGUGUAAGUAACUGUGCACAGCGUGACGGUACCUAAUCAGAAAGCAACGGCUAACUACGUG
rnacentral:rRNA from 1 species